CGCCGUGCGACCACAGCAGCCACAUCAUGGCGGCGCGACGAAGCAGCCCACGCCGGCGCCUCACUGCCGCUCCCCUCUCCCUCUAACCUUCUAACCUUGCUCCGCCACCCGCCCCUCGGCGCCUUCCGCUCCGCCCGUCGGCCUUCUCCUCCGUGGAUCUCGGCUGGUCGAUCCUGCCCGUGGGCGCGUGGCUGGAUCGCCCGACAUCUCAACUCCGGCGCCAACCGGCUCUGCUCCGGCUCUUCCGCCAUCCUGCUCGCCUGCCUCCUCGUGCGACCUACUACCUCCACAACAACAAAAAUGUUCCUUGAAUUUCUAAAUCAGAAAGAGUGAUGCUCAAUGAGAUUUAGGUCAUGCUAAGACAUCGACAAUCAAUGCCGACAAGCCUCCACUAUCUAUUGUGGAAAUUAACAACUGUGUUGAGCAAUUCGGAAAUGCAGGUACAAAAAGAAAAUUACUCACCACUGAAAUGAGAAAUGUAUGGCUUUGUUCGCAACUGUGCCUGACAAAUAUAGAAAUUCGUAAGAAAUUAAUCUCUUCUGCACUGUACAUGAGGCGAUACACAAGCUGAUCUCAUUAGGCGAAAUGCAGGCUGAAUCCUGGCUGAUAUGUGUAUAGUUCAGUGGAGUAGCAUCCUGUUUCUUCCCAAUGUAUUUGACUUGAUACUUCCUCGCGUUUUGUUAGACAUACUUCUGUAGUCCCGUUUGGGUAACGCGGGUGUACACUGAGUGAAAAGCUGACAUGAUCCAGAUAUUGUUUAGUCUUGUGAAAGGCGGUGUGUAUAUUGGUACAGAAAAAGCCUAGAUUGUACUGAUUUUGGCAGGCAAGCAUACAGUUUUUAGGAGUAUACUAAC